rnacentral:rRNA from 1 species
UACGAAGGGGGCUAGCGUUGCUCGGAAUUACUGGGCGUAAAGCGUACGUAGGCGGCUUGUUAAGUCGGAGGUGAAAUCCUGGAGCUCAACUCCAGAACUGCCUUCGAUACUGGCGAGCUUGAGUUCGGGAGUGGUGAGUGGAACUGCGAGUGUAGAGGUGAAAUUCGUAGAUAUUCGCAAGAACACCAGUGGCGAAGGCGGCUCACUGGCCCGAUACUGACGCUGAGGCGCGAAAGCGUGGGGAGCAAACAGG